rnacentral:miRNA from 1 species
AGGGAAUAGUUGCUGUGCUGUA